rnacentral:tRNA from 1 species
GCACCCGUAGCUCAAUUGGAUAGAGCGACGGUCUUCGGAACCGUAGGUUUCAGGUUCGACCCCUGACGGGUGCA